AUAAACGGUUACACUCACACCAAACCUCUGAUAUCUUCAACUGUAAUUUACUAAUUUCUCUCAAAUCAAACUUCUCGCCGGCGGCAUGGAGAUCCCACCGGAGAUCAUCACCGACAUCCUCUACCGUCUUCCCGCCAAAUCCCUCGGUCGCUUCAAAUCCGUUUCAAAAAACUGGCAAUCUCAAAUCUCCGACCCCCAAUUCAUCAAACACCACCAAAACACCCUCAACCACCACCAUCUCAUCUGCAAUUCCCACAACACUUCACUCUACUCACUCCCGAUCAACCCAGAUAACCAAUCAGACCAAACCCCAGAAAACAUCACCUGUCUUUCACCUCACACCGACAUAUUCAUCUUCCAUGGUUCUUGCAACGGUCUUGUUUUAUGCUCUACCGAUGACUGUAUAAACUGUCACUCGCUCGUUGUGUUUAACCCAACAACUAGAGAGCUUGUAACAAUACCGGAAUCGGGUUAUGAUGUGAUUAGUAACUUGUUAGAGAUUGAUAUCAUGUAUGGGUUUGGUUAUGAUUCGGUUACUGAUGAUUAUAAGGUUGUUACGGUUUCCUACUUUCAUUAUAAUUAUUUGGUUCCUCCGGGUGAUAUGUGUGUGUGUGUUUAUAGCCUUGGAGAGGGUAAUUGGAGGCGGGUGGAUGAUUCGGUUUAUGAUCAUUCUCAUGGGAGGAGUUUGCCUGGUGUGUUGGUUAAUGGGGUGCUUCAUUGGGUUGCUUGUAGAGGUUCGGAUGGUUUACGGGUGAUUGUUGGUUUUAGUUUAGCGGAUGAGACGUUUAGUGAAGUGGCAUCGCCCGAGUUUGGUGAUCGGGGUGAUGUUUUGUCGAAGAGGGGAUGUAGGAUUGUUGUUGUGGGUGAAAAGCUUGGUGUGUUUUUUGGAGAUGUGGUGUGGGUGAUGAAUGAGUAUGGGGUGAGGGAAUCUUGGGUUGAGAUUGUAAUGUGUGGGAUUAAUGAGAUUCCGGUGGUUGAUCCGGAGAUUUUUUAUGAAGAUGGAAGAAUUCUGUUGGUGAGUGGUGGUGUAAUGUGGAUAUAUGAUGUUGAAGGAAAGGCUUUUUGUGAAAGUAUUGAUAUUUCUAGGAAGGUUAAAGGUUUGAAGGUCAAAGGUAGUUAUGUCGAAAGCCUUGUAUCGCCAAAAUUCAUUUGAGUCAGUUGGAAAUCGACAUGUUCGAGUGAUGGUUCGUGCGUGGAAGUAAGUUCAAAGAAUGGUGGCAACGCUUAAAAAGAAGACUGUAUAGAGGUGGCAAAGUGGGUGGUUUGGAUCAAGUAUGUGUUCGACAGAUAGGGUUGAAAUGGACGUGUUGAACUUGGUUAGCGUUUUCGAAUGGGUCAGCAGCUCAGAGUGUCGGGUGGUUGACCCGAUGGGAUUUCCCUUGUUUGUUUUACCUUUUAGUAACUUGCAAAAUCGAUAUAUUGAACUUUGACUAUCAUUUCGUUUGUCUGAACUUAAGAGGUUCAUAUUUUCUAAUAGUUGGCGGUUCAAUG